rnacentral:rRNA from 1 species
GACGAACGCUGGCGGCGUGCUUAACACAUGCAGGUCGAACGGUGAAGCGCCUUCCUUUUUGGUGGGUGUGGAUGAGUGGCGAACGGGUGAGUAACACGUGAGUAACCUGCCCCCUUCUUCUGGAUAACCGCAUGAAAGUGUGGCUAAUACGGGAUAUUCUGGGUCUGUCGCAUGAUGGGUCUGGGAAAGAUCUUGUUUCGGUGGGGGAUGGGCUCGCGGCCUAUCAGCUUGUUGGUGGGGUGAUGGCCUACCAAGGCGGUGACGGGUAGCCGGCCUGAGAGGGUGGACGGUCACACUGGGACUGAGACACGGACCAGACUCCUACGGGAGGCAGCAGUGGGGAAUAUUGCACAAUGGGAGCAAGCCUGAUGCAGCGACGCCGCGUGAGGGAUGGAGGCCUUCGGUUUGUGAACCUCUUUCGCCAGUGAAGCAGGCCUGCCUCGUUUGUGGGUGGGUUGACGGUAGCUGGAUAAGAAGCGCCGGCUAACUACGUG